UGUUUGUGGCCUAAAACGCCUAGUGCAGUACAAAGUUAUUGUAAAUAAAUAUAAGAAAACGCUUGAAAAUGUUUGAAAGUUUCAUAUUUUAUUCAAACUUACCAUGCCAAUGUGCUUGGCCAUGGUGGCAUUGUUGACGUACAGUACUCAUCAUUGAAAUUUAAUUGUGAUUUCAAUUUUGGCUUCUAACAAUAAAAACAAAAAACAAAAAACGUUAUAAUCGAAGAAAAACAAUUAAUGUGCAGCGGCACGGGUUGUGUAUUUAGUAUGUUACUGCGUUGUUAAUUGCACCCUGAAUGCACCCUGUGUUGCUUGCAGCAAGCGUGUGACGCAUGUUCUUCUGCCUACCCUGAGCUGGCUUUAAGUGGUUUAUUGACACCCCAUUGGGAGUUUACAGUAAAAAUAAACGCACAACAAAAAGAGUUACACACAUCGGAUAUUUAAAUACAAGACACAUCGCUUUAGAAAUCGCCAUCUUACGCUAUUAGUCAAUGGAAAACCCUAUUGAAGGUGUACAUAUUUGUAUGUUUCAGACAGGCGAUGUUCAGCCAGCUAGGUUUGGGUCCUUCGUGGCUCGCGUGUGCAAGCGGGUGAGCGAGGAAGAAAAGAGAGCUAGCGGCACUGCGAGCGGUCGUGUUGCUAAUUAGUGUGACGCAGUAUAUUUACCACCUGUCAGUUAGGAGCGAGAGGUGUCUGUGUUCCUUUACCGAGUGUGCUUCCAUGAGAGGUGUGUGGGAGCGCCACUUCUUUGUUCAUUGUUACUCUAAUAUGCAGCUCCAUGCAUGCAACGCACCACACUGCCCCCAAGAUGCCAAGAAGCAUACAGCAGGAACAACAGAUCAUGGGACGCAAAAAGGCAACAGUCUUCUUCAUCAGCACACAACACUCCAGAACGACAACCCCAGUCCCAGAAUGACAACGGAUAUUCCUG